rnacentral:rRNA from 1 species
AUUGAACGCUAGCGGGAUGCUUUACACAUGCAAGUCGAACGGCAGCGCGGACUUCGGUCUGGCGGCGAGUGGCGAACGGGUGAGUAAUGUAUCGGAACGUGCCCAGUAGCGGGGGAUAACUACGCGAAAGCGUAGCUAAUACCGCAUACGCCCUACGGGGGAAAGCAGGGGAUCGUAAGACCUUGCACUAUUGGAGCGGCCGAUAUCGGAUUAGUUAGUUGGUGAGGUAACGGCUCACCAAGGCGACGAUCCGUAGCUGGUUUGAGAGGACGACCAGCCACACUGGGACUGAGACACGGCCCAGACUCCUACGGGAGGCAGCAGUGGGGAAUUUUGGACAAUGGGGGCAACCCUGAUCCAGCCAGCCCGGGGGGGCGAUGAAGGCCUUCGGGUUGUAAAGCACUUUUGGCAGGAAAGAAACGUCGCGGGCUAAUACCCCGUGGAACUGACGGUACCUGCAGAAUAAGCACCGGCUAACUACGU